CUCGAUGAGUAGGGCGGGACACGUGGUAUCCUGUCUGAAUAUGGGGGGACCAUCCUCCAAGGCUAAAUACUCCUGACUGACCGAUAGUGAACCAGUACCGUGAGGGAAAGGCGAAAAGAACCCCGGCGAGGGGAGUGAAAAAGAACCUGAAACCGUGUACGUACAAGCAGUGGGAGCACGCUUAGGCGUGUGACUGCGUACCUUUUGUAUAAUGGGUCAGCGACUUAUAUUCUGUAGCAAGGUUAACCGAAUAGGGGAGCCGAAGGGAAACCGAGUCUUAACUGGGCGUUAAGUUGCAGGGUAUAGACCCGAAACCCGGUGAUCUAGCCAUGGGCAGGUUGAAGGUUGGGUAACACUAACUGGAGGACCGAACCGACUAAUGUUGAAAAAUUAGCGGAUGACUUGUGGCUGGGGGUGAAAGGCCAAUCAAACCGGGAGAUAGCUGGUUCUCCCCGAAAGCUAUUUAGGUAGCGCCUCGUGAAUUCAUCUCCGGGGGUAG
rnacentral:rRNA from 1 species